rnacentral:rRNA from 1 species
AGUGUAGGUGGCCAUGCAAGUCAGAAGUGAAAAUCCGGGGCUCAACCCCGGAACUGCUUUUGAAACUGUAAGGCUGGAGUGCAGGAGGGGUGAGUGGAAUUCCUAGUGUAGCGGUGAAAUGCGUAGAUAUUAGGAGGAACACCAGUAGCGAAGGCGGCUUUCUGGACUGUAACUGACACUGAGGCACGAAAGCGUGGGGAGCAAACA